CUGCAACCCUUGCUGCGUCAAGAUCGCGCGCAUCUUAACUUGCCAAAUACCGAAACUAAUAUUCUGGUCGAACUUCUCGAUUUCGAACUUCGCAGCCAUCUGGAAUCCUUCACAAAGUAGCAAACGGAGCUUGUGUGCAGACAGAACGAGCGAUCUGAUAACCAGGCUCUGAUACCAGUUUGUUGGGAUAAACUCGCACACAAACACAAAUAAUAAUGCCACUGGUACAAAUGGACACCAGAAUCGCACCUUCAACGCAGAACGAAAGAAAAAAAAUAGGGAAGAAGAAGAAGAACACACAGAUUUACGUGGUUCGGAGAUCAAAAAGAUACUCCUACGUCC
rnacentral:lncRNA from 1 species